rnacentral:lncRNA from 1 species
GCCAAUAUAUUAGCAAAUAUCACCGUGGGCGCUUAUAAGAGCGGGGCGCUUAUUACGUCGAAUACGGUAAUGCCCUAAGGUGAUAUGAACAGUCUAAGAAAAAAUGAAAAUUUGAAAUAAAAUCUAAUUAUUGUGGCCUUAAUCUUAAUACAGAUUUGAGAUCUACACAACUGUUUAUUUGUUGCAACUCUUGAUAUCCUCUCAAACAACGAGGACCCUAACUGGUUUGUUAUAUCAGAAAUAAUUCACUUGGACAAUAAAUGUAAUUUGAUGACAACAUUGGAUUUGUUCUAACGGACUUGUUUUAACCACUUUGUUAUAUCGGAGAUGACUGUAUUGUGAUCAUAUAUGACUUAAAUGUUCUCGCCAUGUGUGCAAGAGGAUAAAAGCGAUAUUGUACAUCCUAUGAAUGAGUGAGUGAGUGUUAGACUAUGGGUAAACAAACUACACAGAAUGUCUGUGCGUGAUCCAUUGAUAUAUGCAAAUAUGAUUUUUUAACUGUCUUCAUAAUCAAUAUUGUGCAUAACCUAGAAAUAUCCUUAAAUGUUGAUUUAAUGUCAUAAAUAUUUAGCAUCUUUUAACAUGUUUAACUGAUCACUUAUUUCAUUAGAAUGUUUAUUAAUUGUGACACAGAAAUAAACAUUUUGUUGUAUUAUGCCAGUUUUUUAAAUAGUUGUCAGAUAGUUAGAUUUAGUUUUUACAACAAAGAUGAAGUAUGACUGUCCUUGGUGUCAUAUUUAACUGAAGACGAUAAACAACAUACGUUCAUAGCUUUGGAGACACCGAGGCCUUCGGUAUAUGAGAACUUGUAGAAUGAUGUGUUGCGAAAUUAUUUACAACCACACAAUUUAAUGGCAGAAAAAAUUGGUCUAUUUCAUUAUUGCAGUCAGUUACGUAGACAUGAUUCUGAAACCCAAGUCUCGUAACAUUUCGUUCCGUCUAAUAAGCUCUUUUAUUGUGAAGAUUACUGACUUUUUGCUUGACAGUAACUUUAGUAGGUUGAAAAUUAUUUUUAAUUUUAUUAGCUCAGUGUGUUUCUUUCAGCUUAUUGGGAACUAAAGCAUUUAGUGAGGGAAAGUCUAUUUAAAGUGAAGUAAGUUAUAUAUUUCAUUUUUGACAUAUGGACAUACAUUUUCAUUGUAUAAGAGGUUUUAUUUUCUUAAUGAGGCAAUGGCCAGAGACAAGAUAGGUCAAUAAACUGAAUUUGAUUGACAGCAUGUAAAGAGUUAACUGUUAAUUUUUUGUCCUUUUAUCUUUUUCAUUUUACUAAUUCAAAGACAGCAGUCAGGCAAAUAAAUCUAAAAUAUUUCAUUUUUUUAUGUCUGAUUGACCAAAUGUGUACACUGCCAAUUGAAUGUGUUCAAUGAAAACAAAAAAGGUUUGCCUCAUAAAGCAACUGAAAUUCUUUGCACAGACUGUAAUUGCAUUGUCCCACUAGAUCUGCCCUGGUAUACACACAGCUGUGUAUGCAACUACACAGCAUGAAGUAAAAGGAUGAUUCAUGUUUUGCUUGGUUGACCUUAUUGUAAGUUGGUAUUGUAUUGUUAUACUUAUGUUUGUCGAAUGUAAGACUAGCCCCUUCACUUGCUGGGACGAUGCCCCAUCAACAGAAGACCCCCCUCUCAGCUCAUGCACAGCUCAACUAUCAUAUAACAUACCUUACAUAUUCAGUCUCUCUCACAAUCAGAAUGCACAUCUAACACUGUCAAAUUUUGUCAUUCAGGUGUUUUGGUAAUAUUCCAUCCCCUGUCAUUAAGGUGUGCUGGUAAUACUCCCUCGCCUGUCAUUAAGGUGUGCUUGUAAUAUUCCCUCACCUGCCAUUCAGGUGUGCUGGUAAUAUUCCCUCACCUGUCAUUCAGGUGUGCUGGUAAUAUUCCCUCACCUGUCAUUCAGGUGUGCUGGUAAUAUUCCCUCACCUGUCAUUAUGGUGUGCUGGUAAUAUUCCCUCAUCUGUCAUUCAGGUGUGCUGGUAAUAUUCCCUCCCCUGUCAUUCAGGUGUGCUGAUAAUAUUCCCUCACCUGUCAUUCAGGUGUGCUGGUAAUAUUCCAUCCCGUCAUUAAGGUGUGCUGGUAAUAUUCCCUCACUUGUCAUUCAGGUGUGCUGGUAAUAUUCCCUCACUUGUCAUUCAGGUGUGCUGGUAAUAUUCCCUCACCUGUCAUUCAGGUGUGCUGGUAAUAUUCCCUCACCUGUCAUUCAGGUGUGCUGGUAAUAUUCCCUCACCUGUCAUUAAGGUGUGCUGGUAAUAUUCCCUCACCUGUCAUUAAGGUGUGCUGGUAAUAUUCCCUCCCCUGUCAUUCAGGUGUGCUGGUAAUAUUCCCUCACCUGUCAUUCAGGUGUGCUGGUAAUAUUCCCUCACCUGUCAUUCAGGUGUGGUGGUAAUAUUUCCUCACCUGCCAUUAUGGUGUGCUGGUAAUAUUCCCUCCCCUGUCAUUCAGGUGUGCUGGUAAUAUUCCCUCACCUGUCAUUCAGGUGUGCUGGUAAUAUUCCCUCACCUGUCAUUAAGGUGUGCUGGUAAUAUUCCUUCACCUGCCAUUAUGGUGUGCUGGUAAUAUUCCCUCACCUGUCAUUAAGGUGUGCUGGUAAUAUUCCCUCACCUGUCAUUAAGGUGUGCUGGUAAUAUUCCCUCACCUGUCAUUAAGGUGUGCUGGUAAUAUUCCCUCCCCUGUCAUUCAGGUGUGCUGGUAAUAUUCCCUCACCUGUCAUUCAGGUGUGCUGGUAAUAUUCCCUCACCUGUCAUUCAGGUGUGCUGGUAAUAUUCCCUCACCUGUCAUUCAGAUGUGCUGGUAAUAUUCCCUCACCUGUCAUUCAGGUGUGCUGGUAAUAUUCCCUCACCUGUCAUUCAGGUGUGCUGGUAAUAUUCCCUCACCUGUCAUUCAGGUGUGCUGGUAAUAUUCCCUCACCUGUCAUUCAGGUGUGCUGGUAAUAUUCCCUCACCUGUCAUUCAGGUGUGCUGGUAAUAUUCCCUCACCUGUCAUUCAGGUGUGCUGGUAAUAUUCCCUCACCUGUCAUUAAGGUGUGCUGGUAAUAUUCCCUCACCUGUCAUUCAGGUGUGCUGGUAAUAUUCCCUCACCUGUCAUUCAGGUGUGCUGGUAAUAUUCCCUCACCUAUCAUUAAGGUGUGCUGGUAAUAUUCCCUCACCUAUCAUUUAGGUGUGCUGGUAAUAUUCCCUCACCUGUCAUUCAGGUGUGCAUCAAUACCCUCUCCUCUAUAACACCCAUCAAACAGGUUCACAUUUCAUUCAAAAUGAUUGUAAGGUAAAAGCAGAUUCUCAAAACUUUGCUUGAUUCACUAUUCACAUAUAAAUGCAUCUUGAGUCUCUAUGUGCUAUGAAAUCAAGAUUUCAUUUUCAGUUUUGUCGAAAAAAUCUUUUCAGAUACUGCCCAAUAUUAGAGUCAUAAAAAAGUAUAAUAUGUUCAGAAUUGUUAUUCCCUAGGAAUUGAUUGAAUGCUUUGGAAUUCUUGUGUUAUUGCAUGUAGCAAUACCUUCUAAAUAAUCAGAUGGAUUACAUGAUGUAUCGUUACUAUUCCAAUGAUUUACCAAUCUUCAAGUUUAUUCAUUAGCAAUUGGCAAAUAACUGUGUGUUUUUGGUGUGUGUUUUUACAUUGUUGUUUAAGAAUGUUAGUCAUGUCAUUUCGGUAAACAUUAGAGCAUCACAAAGAACGGAAGAAGUGCUGGUUGAAAUAUGAAUAUGUACAUAUGACAAAGAUGUUAAUACACUGUAAAUAUAUGUACAAAAAAAACAAAGAACAACUUUCACAUUUGAUUGUAUUUGUUAAGCCAUAUUUUCAAUGUUCACCAUCAUAUUUGUAAAUAAUUGUUAAUAGUAAUUAAACAUGAAACCAAC